rnacentral:rRNA from 1 species
AGUGAACGCUGGCGGUAGGCCUAACACAUGCAAGUCGAACGAGUGGCGGACGGGUGAUGAAUACAUCGGCAUCUCCUCUGUCGUGGGGGAUAACGUAUGGAAACUUACGCUAAUACCGCAUACGAUUGAAUGAGCCGAUGUCGGAUUAGCUAGUUGGCGGGGUAAAGGCCCACCAAGGCGACGAUCCUUAGCUGGUCUGAGAGGAUGAUCAGCCAAACUGGAACUGAGACACGGUCCAGACUCCUACGGGAGGCAGCAGUGGGGAAUAUUGGACAAUGGGCGCAAGCCUGAUCCAGCCAUGCCGCUUGUAUGAAGAAGGUCUUCGGGUUGUAAAGCACUUUAAGUUGGGAGGCGUUACCCACAGAAGAAGCACCGGCUAACUUCGUGCCAGCCGCCGCGGUAAUUC